rnacentral:rRNA from 1 species
GACGAACGCUGGCGGCGUGCUUAACACAUGCAAGUCGAGCGGUAAGGCCCUUUCGGGGGUACGACGAGCGGCGAACGGGUGAGUAACACGUGGGUGACCUGCCCUCAGCUCUGGGAUAAGCCUGGGAAACCGGGUCUAAUACUGGAUAUGACUCCAUGACGCAUGUUGUGGGGUGGAAAGCCUUGUGCGGCUGAGGAUGGGCCCGCGGCCUAUCAGCUUGUUGGUGGGGGGAUGGCCU